rnacentral:rRNA from 1 species
UUUCUUCGGAGAGUUUGAUCCUGGCUCAGGAUGAACGCUGGCGGCGUGCCUAAUACAUGCAAGUCGAGCGAACUGAUUAGAAGCUUGCUUCUAUGACGUUAGCGGCGGACGGGUGAGUAACACGUGGGCAACCUGCCUGUAAGACUGGGAUAACUUCGGGAAACCGAAGCUAAUACCGGAUAGGAUCUUCUCCUUCAUGGGAGAUGAUUGAAAGAUGGUUU